GGACACAGCCAAGAAAAAGAAGAAAGGCAAAAAGGAUGAGGACCUGCAACCUGUGUCCACAAUGAGGUCCCCCCAGGCAACCCUCACUUCUCCCAGAAUGCCCUUGGGUCCUAUAAGUCAGCCACAGGGACUUGGUCCACUAAAGGGAGGAGAGACCCCCUUAGGGAGCCCCAUGAACACCCUGGGGAGCCCCAUGAACACUCUAGGGGGCAGCACCAUGGGAAGCUCUCUUGGCAAACACGGAUCUCUUGGACCACUCAGGCCGGUGGG